GCCCUGAAAUCGGGACACAAGAGGAAAACAACGAGCAAAGAAGUUUAACAUUUUAUUCCUCUAAUUCUUUGGUUACAGAGUCCAGUCCUCCACAGAGCAGCACCAUUCACACUUCCUGUCAUCAGACCUUUCAGCAUAGAAGGGCUCUGUCAGCAACCUGCAUUAAAGAUCAACCAGCAACUCCAGUGAUCUGACUCCCUUCUUCAUCUGAACACAACGCAGAACACAUCAAGACUGAAUAUUGAGCCAGUUAGCAGCUGUGUGACCCGUGGAGCCCUGCAGACCAGAGUUUCAACAGCUGACACAGAGUGAGCACGAGACGGUGCAGGAGAAUCUGAGUAUUGACUUA